rnacentral:rRNA from 1 species
GGGCCCGCACAAGCGGAGGAACAUGUGGUUUAAUUCGAUGAUACGCGAGGAACCUUACCCGGGUUUGAACGCGGCGGGACGUACGGUAAAAGCCGUAUUUCAGCAAUGACCGGCCGCGAGGUGCUGCAUGGUUGUCGUCAGCUCGUGCCGUGAGGUGUAGGCUUAAGUGCCAUAACGAGCGCAACCCCUAUCGUUAGUUGCCAGCGUGUAAUGACGGGGACUCUAGCGAGACUGCCGGCGCAAGCUGUGAGGAAGGUGGGGAUGACGUCAAAUCAGCACGGCCCUUACAUCCGGGGCGACACACGUGUUACAAUGGCAGGGACAAAGGGCAGCUACCGCGCGAGCGGAUGCUAAAUCUCUAAAACCCUGUCUCAGUUCGGAUCGGAGUCUGCAACUCGACUCCGUGAAGCUGGAUUCGCUAGUAAUCGCGCAUCAGCCAUGGCG